GGGCGCAGCAGCCCUUGGGGUGGACGCGGAACUCCGGUUACGGGGAUGUGGGCGGGGUGUCCUAUGCGCUGGGCGGAGCCUGCAGUGAGUGAGCCAGGCCUCGGUGGGACCGGAUUUUAGAGAACCGGAAGACACCACCCCUGUGUUCCGGUUCUCUAAAGUGUCUUUUCUAUCCCUGCAACUCUGACUUGUCGCUCCAUUCUAGCGUCUGGUGACCUCCCCAAGUCUGGGCGCCCCUGUCUCCGUCUGAGCCAGGCGACCGACGGGAUGAAAGCCUUGGUCCUGGGCAGGGGCGCGAGCCCGAAAGUCUGCACGCGCCCUCCCCACUGCAGCCCCUGCCUCGGCGCCUUCAUUUCAAGGCUGCCUUGCUUUCUCCAAUUUCACUCUCGUAGAAGCCAACGAGACAGCGACCCCGCUGAAGGCAGGUGGCCUGUUUUGGCGACAGUGUCUCCUCCGCUUGUCACGGGAGGGACCCGUGUUCUCGCUGUAGCAAACCCCUAGAGUCCCGCGCUUCCCGCAGCUUCGCCCUCGGUGGAAGCCCCGCUCCCGGCAGUCGCGGCCGAGGACUCGGGGAGCAUCUCCUGCACCUUCGUGGUCUUCUCAGUGAGCCCCUUGUCUGGAUCGGGGGGAUCGGAUACCCUGCGCCCUGUCCCUCACCCCACCUGGGAACCCCGCGUGGAUCAGGUCCCCUCGAGGGUCUCUGUCGCGGUGCGCGGCUCUCCCUGAAGUCCUCGACACCUCUUCCUGCCCCUCUGAGUCUCCCUGCUGCCCCGGCUUUGUUCUCGCCGCCCCCACGGCCUGUGCCAGGAAUCCUGGCCGCUCCAUCCUCGAGGUCCGCCUGCCCGGCCUUCUGCCCCGACCCUGGGCCUGCCUUGGCCCCUCGCUCCCUAUGACACACAUCGCGCAGCUGGAACCGCUCAGGGACAGGCAGGUGGCCGCAGGCCCUCACGGCGGGGACCAGCAGCGCCUCCACCGCCUGCAGGAGGCUCCCGGCCUGGCGCGGCCCCUCAACCCUGAUCCCAGCGGGAGGGGCCCAGGCGGGCGGCCUGGGCUGCGGGCACCGCACCAAACCCCUCCUGGGGACUCCCUCAGGGCUGGGAGUUCAGGCCCGGGCUGGGCUCCGUCGCCUGUGGCAGGCGUGGCACAGCGUCUUCACCCUCCCCUGGCCCGGGCAGUCCAGGGAUCCGCUGGGGGCUAACAGGUUUGCUCUCCGAAGGCCCAGCUGCUCCGGAACUAUGUCCCUGGCACCCGCCUGAGGGUUCUGAACUGUGACCAGGUGCAAGCUCUCGAAGACGCUCAGCAGGGUGUGGGCCAUCACACUCCUCAGGCCUGCCCCUGCGCAAACCAACCGGCCCCCCCCCAUAAACCUCUCUGGUUACGGUCUCCAUAGCAACACUCCACGCUGGAGCUGGGGUCGGCAGGUGUGGUGAUGGGAGCAGUACAGGUAGCUGUUUGAGGGUUAGAGGGGUUGAAUUCAGGCCAUCACAUUGAGCUACAUCCAAAACCUGUUUGUUUGUUUGGACAGGGUUGUGCUAAGUCUCUAAACUGCUCAAGCUGGGCUCAAAUUCGUGAUCCUCCUGCCUCAGCCUCCCAGAAUGCUAGGCACACCUGGCUGGAGGAGCAGUUCUUAAACGGCAGCAUGGGAAGCAGGACGUGGAGCGCCGGAAACACCACCUUCACCGGUGGGCAAACUAGGCAGGAUUCGCAGAAGAAAGAGUAGGCACCACUGCAGGGGACAUUCGGGGAAGAGAAGCCUCUUUCCAGGGUGCACAGGCCUCGGUCAGGGCAAAGGAGCUCUGUGCGGACAGAAACCAAACGCACUGUCAUCCCCAAGGGUCCAGAUCUCACUCGGGGCUCAGCCUCCUUCACAGUGUUGGCCUUCUCAGCCUGAAAGGACAACAGGCCUGCGGGCUGGGGAGCUGCAGCGGCUUCAGGAGCGUGGGAACCCCCAUCAGGCCACAGGUCUCGCUCCACAGGCCCUGGCCCCAAUCCCCAUCCUGUGUGGGCUCCUCUACUCUUUCUUUGCGUGCGUCAAGUGUGUGGUCUGAAUACCUGGUGACCCCCACUGAGAUGGGUCUCAGGCUCUGCCGGGAACCAGGUGGGCACUUGCCAGCCAUAGCAGUUCCCACGUGCAUUUGGCUCCGAUCUCUGCAGCCCUUGACCACCAGCUCUGCGGGCAGCAGCCCGGCUGUUAGGCUCCAUCCCAGCCCUCCCACUCCUCUGCUGUAACUCUGGGUUGUCCGAGCUCCUGGAGGCCUCAGCUUGUUCCUCUGUGAAUGGCCAUACCACUCUUCAGCCUCAGGGGAUUCCAAUGGGUACAAAGAGGGCUAAUCCCAGAGAGCAGUUGGAAAAAGGGCUGACCUGGAGCGAGAGCCGGGGUUCAACCCCUCCCCAUCCCCCAAACAAACUACUCCCCCGUCAAUGAGCCCAACAACCCCAGCUCCAUGAAGGUAUUUAUUGAAAACUUACCAUUAUAUAAGCAUUGGCUAAAUAAUGAAUAAAUAAACAGAACAAAAACACUUCACCCCACCCUUGUUUGUUUUUCACACAGGAAGAGAGUUGAUUGUAUGGUUACCAUGGAAAUGGCCCGAUGCAAGCUGCAUGCCUAUUCCUCUUAUUUCUCCUGCUUUUUUCUUCUCCUUUCACCUUUUUGAUCCAGAAAUAGAUGUUCCACUUCUCUCAAGAGCGCUGCUGCCCAACAGAAAUGACACGCCAGCCCCAAACAGGAACCAACUUCCAGUGGCCACCAUCAAUUGAUGAAAGGAAGCAGGGUGAGGAUUUUGUUCCGCUUCCCACGAGGUGGCUGUAAAUGGUACCCGGCAGCCCCAUACUCCCCAGUAAUGGGAAGUCGUCUCUGUGCCUCGGUGACCCAGCCUUAUCCUGAGGUGGUGGGGAUGCAGGACGAUGGGACGCACCCGGCCCCAAGUGCUACUGGGAGGGAGUUUCCUUCUCCCCUCGAGACAGGAAGGUGGGACGCACUGGCCUACAGAGGGAGGCCUGGGACAGCGUGUGCUUGCAGGAGGACCCGCAGGUAUGAGGGUGCUAAGGACUGAAUUGUGUUCCCCCAAAUUUGGGUGUUGCACCCCUAACUCCCAACGGGAUGAAUUCUGGACACAGGGCAUUUAGGAGGUUAUUAAGGUGAACCAGGUCUUAAGACAGGACUGGUGCCCUUGGGAGAAGAGGGAGAGACAUAGACCCCCUGCCCCCGCCUGAGCACACAGGAAAGGGUGCGUGAGGGCGCUGCGAGACAACAGGUUCCUAUUCAGCCUGCCUGCCUGCUGUCUGUCUGUCUGUCAUACUGGGGAUUGAAUCCAUGGCCUUUGUACUAAGACACAUCCCCAGCUCUUUUUUUAUUUUGAGACAGAAUCUGACUAAGUCACCAAAUCGCUUAGUUGCCCAGGCUGAACUUGAGCUUGUGAUUCUCCCGCCUCAACCUCUCCGAGUGCCAGGGUUACAGGUGUGCACUUAGAACUGAUUGUAGUUGUCACUGACCAUGUCACCUUCUGUUCCCCACCCCCACCCCAGCACAGACUGUCCCGCCUGGCCUCUCCUUACUUCUCCUUAGUCCCCAUUUACUAGGAAAAGGCAGGUGGCCACCUGUCUUCCUCCUCUGUUUCCUGGCUGCUCCGCCGGGAAGUCGUUCCCGUUCACUCUCCGGGUGGGGUGAGGCUGGAGGAGCAGAGCUGCACGGGAUGAUGGGACAUCGUGAACUCAGAGUCUGUGAAUCGGAGACCCAGAAACUUCCAGAUGGAAGGAAUCAUCCUGGAAGCCAGGGACUCUGAGUUGCUGAAGCUUCUAGGCAUCCAAUGAGGAACAAUCACUGCUGUUCCUGGGCCGCCAUGCUGGGAGGGAGCUCAGCACACACUGGAGACCACUUGUAGGUGUCUAAGUCCACAGAUGCAGCAAAACCCCCCCUCCAGACCAGGUACCGGACAUACCCAUGAUGAAGAUUCCAGAAGAUUCUACAGCCUGGCUAGGGGAGUCAUUCCAGCUUCGACCCUAAACAUUGUGGGACUGAAAGAAGCCAUUCUCACUGUGUCCUUUCACCAUUGCUGAGUCAGAAUCUGUGUGCAUAAUAAAAAGAGUCUGCUAGCACGGUGCAGUGAUACAUGCAUGUAAUCCCAGCAUUUAGGAGGCUGAGGCAGGAGGAUCCCUUUGAGUGUGAGACCAGCCCAUGCUACAUAGUGAG